UACGUAGGCAGCGAGCGUUGUUCGGAGUUACUGGGCGUAAAGCGUGCGUAGGCGGUGUCUUAAGUUUGUUGUGAAAUCUCCCGGCUUAACCGGGAGGGUGCGGCGAAUACUGAGAUGCUGGAGUGCCGGAGAGGUAAGCGGAAUUCCUGGUGUAGCGGUGAAAUGCGUAGAUAUCAGGAGGAACACCUGCGGUGUAGACGGCUUACUGGACGGUAACUGACGCUCAGGCACGAAAGCGUGGGGAGCAAAAGGG
rnacentral:rRNA from 1 species